AGUGAACGCUGGCGGCGUGCUUAACACAUGCAAGUCGAACGAGAACGGAAUAUAGCUUGCUAUAUUUGUCAGCUAAGUGGCGCACGGGUGAGUAAAGUAUAGAUAACCUGCCCUUAAGAAAGGAAUAACAGUUGGAAACGACUGCUAAUGCCCUAUAUGCCUUUAAUACAUAAGUAUGCAAGGGAAACGCUUUAGUGCUUAAGGAUGGGUCUGUAUGGUAUCAGCUUGUUGGUGAGGUAAUGGCUCACCAAGGCUAUGACGCCUAACUGGUUUGAGAGGAUGAUCAGUCACACUGGAACUGAGACACGGUCCAGACUCCUACGGGAGGCAGCAGUGGGGAAUAUUGCGCAAUGGACGAAAGUCUGAUGCAGCAACGCCGCGUGGAGGAUGACACAUUUCGGUGCGUAAACUCCUUUUAUAUAGGAAGAUAAUGACGGUACUAUAUGAAUAAGCACCGGCUAACUCCGUGCCAGCCGCCGCGGUAA
rnacentral:rRNA from 1 species